rnacentral:rRNA from 1 species
UGGGGAAUUUUGGACAAUGGGGGAAACCCUGAUCCACCCAUCCCGCGUGUGCGAUGAAGGCCUUCGGGUUGUAAAGCACUUUUGGCAGGAAAGAAACGUCAUGGGUUAAUACCCCGUGAAACUGACGGUACCUGCAGAAUAAGCACCGGCUAACUACGUGCCAGCAGCCGCGGUAAUACGUAGGGUGCAAGCGUUAAUCGGAAUUACUGGGCGUAAAGCGUGCGCAGGCGGUUCGGAAAGAAAGAUGUGAAAUCCCAGAGCUCAACUUUGGAACUGCAUUUUUAACUACCGGGCUAGAGUGUGUCAGAGGGAGGUGGAAUUCCGCGUGUAGCAGUGAAAUGCGUAGAUAUGCGGAGGAACACCGAUGGCGAAGGCAGCCUCCUGGGAUAACACUGCCGCUCAUGCACGAAAGCGUGGGGAGCAAACAGG